AGGAAGAAGUGACUUUGAACCAGAUCUUGAAGGAUGGAAAGGCUUUGCAGAGAAAGGGAGAGUAGGGAGGGUAAAGCCCUUCAGGCAGAGAAGCAGCAGGAGAAUCGGGCAGACGCCUUCCUCAAAGUUACGAAAUCACCUUAGAACUGCUGAGAGAUAUUUGGCGUGGGUCCAUAUGCAGCGCUGGCACACGGGGAUGGGGAAUCUCCUUCCAAAAACCUAAUUUGUCAACACCCUGGGCUCGGAGGAGAAAAACAGAAGCCAGAGUCUCGUUAGCUUUGAACGUCCACAGUCCCUUGCAACCGAGUGGCUGCUGUGACAUAGACACAGCCUGUGUAAAUAGCACCGGAUGGGAUUGCAGCUAAUAGGGUUAUUAAUACCUGUCACAUCCCAGGAUGGCAGAAUAAUGCGGAGGUUUUCUACUAUAGAUUAAAACCAACCAACGGGGAAUUUUCCGAGUCUGGCAGCCACAGCUUUCUCUUCAGACAUCUUUUCCUCCAGCCAUGCGGACAGGGGAAGGUAGAUGCUUGCCAUCUACCAAGUAUGGUGAGAGUUUGAAAAGAGGCAGACAUAAGGAAGAGUCAAGGAAGAAAAAUGCCUCAGAAAUCCAAGAGGGGGUCUAUCAUCAUCAUCACCAUCAUCACCACCUGGCUGCUAUGCUACUUCCCUGGAGGACUGAGGCCUGGAAGUCGUGCCUUGAGAUUUCCACCCUGUGCUCUGGCUUUUGCUCCUUCAGCAGACUCAGAGGUAUGGUCAGGCGGAGGGCCGGCUGCCUGCUAACACAGCCACUCGCACACGCGGAAACCCUCCUUCCCCAUCGUUCCUGCACCACCCAGGCUCCACAGUACAAACGGCAGUGGGUGGGAGGGCAGGCAGGAAAACUGAGUGAGUCACUGUUGCACCUUGCCCCUGCCAUCUCUGCCAGGCCCUGGCCCGAUGCCCACAGGAAGGGAGUGCCCUCACCUCCGACCCUCCAAGGUGGGGGCAAGGGAUGGUGAAGAGGAUACAGGGAGCCCUCAGAACAAAGCCCCCAUCCAAAUGUAAGCUGCAUUGAUGGGAACUAAGUGACAAGCCCACCCUCUCCAUCCCCCACCUCAGCAGGAGUCUGGAAAAAGAUGAUGCCCAGCUGCUGGCAGCCCAGAGAGCCAUCCUGGGUGGUCAGCUGUUUACAGCCCAACCCUUCCCUCUUUCCUGAUAAUCCUUCUGCCCACCCAGCAGCUGAGGCACCAUGCCAGCCUCAAGCUGAGCAGGGUUCUCAGACAUCUCCAGAUGAUUCACUGGCUGGCGAAACAGACCAGAACAUGAGGCCUUUAGGGGUCCCAGGUGCCCCUGGAAUCUCAGGAUUGAGAUCUGCACUGGCUUUGUCUCUAGAAGCCACUGACACUCCCUCUCUCUCUCUACCAGAAAACUCUGGGAGGCCCAGGACAGAGGAAAUCAAGGGCAUGCUUGGAAGGAGAUUGAGAAUAUUCUGGAAUGCAUUCUCUGGGGCCAGGGCCAGCUCCCCAUGAAAAGCCUUCACAAGUCCCUCCUCCUCUUCCCCAGCUCCUCAGAAAGAAAGAAGGAAAGAAAGAAAGAAAGAAAGAAAGAAAGAAAGAAAGAAAGAAAGAAAGAAAGAAAGAAAAAUGGUGAGAAGCACAAUAAAAUCAGUAGGUGACAUUGCUAUUAAUCCCAGGACUCUCGCACAUAGAACAAUUUAAAGAGCUGGUAAAGAAGCACACAUGAGAAGUGUUAUUCCUGAGUGGGGACAAAGCACUCAAUACUACCAGAAUGAGGGAGGCCCCUGCUCGCUGCCCUCCGCCCUCUCUGCUGUUUACAGUAAAACUUCAUCACAAGAUGCUAUUAAGCUUGGCAGUUACUGGAAAUGCUACUGUCGCUGUUGACUUCCAUAGCCCCAGGAAAUUUUAUCCAAGACAGAGUGGAUUCAACAGAGAGACCCAAACCACCAGUUGUUGCUCUUCAGAAAGUAGAAGGUGCCCUAGAGAGAGAUAGUAGCCAUUCUUGGGCUGGGGAAUGUCGGCUGCCUCCCCCUGCUCUGGGGGCCAUAAGGACGAUAAUGAAAUCAGCAGAGCUGGUGGGAUAGAUUCCAGAGCAAAAUGAAAAGCAGUUUGGCCAUUAUGAGGAAGGCCAGAGAGCACAGUCCAACCUCUUCUAUCUGUCUUCUCAGCUACCUUGAUGGAAGGAGAGAAAUAGCCUAUUCUGUGAUCUAUAAAU